UCCCUACGGGAGGCAGCAGUGGGGAAUAUUGGGCAAUGGGCGCAAGCCUGACCCAGCAACGCCGCGUGAAGGAAGAAGGCUUUCGGGUUGUAAACUUCUUUUGUCAGGGACGAAGCAAGUGACGGUACCUGACGAAUAAGCUACGGCUAACUACGUGUCAGCCGCCGCGGUAAUACGUAGGUGGCACGCGUUAUCCGGAUUUACUGGGUGUAAUGGGCGUGUAGGCGGGACUGCAAGUCAGCUGUGAAAACCACGGGCUCAACCUGUGGCCUGCCUUUGAAACUGUAGUUCUUGAGUACUGGAGG
rnacentral:rRNA from 1 species